rnacentral:rRNA from 1 species
GACGAACGCUGGCGGCGUGCUUAACACAUGCAAGUCGAACGGAAAGGCCCUGCUUUUGUGGGGUGCUCGAGUGGCGAACGGGUGAGUAACACGUGAGUAACCUGCCCUUGACUUUGUGAUAACUUCAGGAAACUGGGGCUAAUACCGGAUAGGAGCUCCUGCUGCAUGGUGGGGGUUGGAAAGUUUCGGCGGUUGGGGAUGGACUCGCGGCUUAUCAGCUUGUUGGUGGGGUAGUGGCUUACCAAGGCUUUGACGGGUAGCCGGCCUGAGAGGGUGACCGGCCACAUUGGGACUGAGAUACGGCCCAGACUCGUACGGGAGGCAGCAGUGGGGAAUAUUGCACAAUGGGCGGAAGCCUGAUGCAGCAACGCCGCGUGCGGGAUGACGGCCUUCGGGUUGUAAACCGCUUUCGCCUGUGACGAAGCGUGAGUGACGGUAAUGGGUAAAGAAGCACCGGCUAACUACGUG